CUACGGGAGGCUGCAGUGAGGAAUAUUGCACAAUGGGGGGAACCCUGAUGCAGCAACGCCGCGUGGAGGAUGACGCAUUUCGGUGUGUAAACUCCUUUUAUAUGUCAAGAAAAUGACGGUAGCAUAUGAAUAAGCAACGGCUAACUGCGUGCCAGCAGCCGCGGUAAUACGGAGGGUGCAAGCGUUACUCGGAAUCACUGGGCGUAAAGGACGCGUAGGCGGGUUGGAAAGUCAGGUGUGAAAUCCAACAGCUUAACUGUAGAACUGCACUUGAAACUUCUAAUCUAGAGUAUGGGAGGGGGAGAUGGAAUUAGUGGUGUAGGGGUAAAAUCCGUAGAUAUCACUAGGAAUACCUAAAGCGAAGGCGAUCUCCUGGAACAUUACUGACGCUAAGGCGUGAAAGCGUGGGGAGCAAACAGGAUUAGAUACCCUCGUAGUC
rnacentral:rRNA from 1 species